AUGUCCAUGUCUCUCCUGCCGCAUGCCACGGUGUUCUUGUUCAUCUUCCUAGUGGCCGCACCGUCUCAGGUUCAUGCUCGGGUUGCUCCGGAUGAUCGGCACGCGCAUGGCGGCCAAGGUUCCAGUAACACUGACAUCGCCAAAGGCGAUGCUCCGGUGACGUUGACGCCAGCUUAUGCACCAGCGAACGACGGCGCUGGUCGUGGCCGGACGCUUUGGUCGACGCCGAGCGACGGUGUUGGCCAUUAG
rnacentral:rRNA from 1 species